ACUGAGCUACUCUGAGGUUAGUUCAUGCAGCUAUUAUUACCUUAAGCCAUUUGGUGUCGGUGUGUUUUGGAAGUAAUCUACGAAGAGUGUGAGUUAGGCAUACUUGCGGAGGCUCCUCGCUUAGUAACCCGCCUUCAGGUUCCAAGAGCAUAGCGAAAACAUCAAAAAACUCGUACAAACAUUCGCCGUGUUUGUCUGCUGGCACGAACUCGUUUUUGAACGCUAUGGAUGCUAUGAGAUUGUGUCCCUAAGGUACAAGAUCGAGUUCUUGUUGUUGUGUUGGAUCGAAGCGACUUAGGAGCGUAGCGUUUGCGCGAGCGAUCAGACUAACGUCUUCUCGUCUUCAAUUCAAGACUGUAUGCUUGUUUCUAUCGUCCUGAGCUAGCCAAUACUCCAACUCUUAAAGGAACAAAAAACAGCCAAUUAUUAACGUCAGCCUCGUGUAGGGAUAACAAAGAACAGAAUGGCCGCAAAACGUGUACGCCCAGAGGGUUAUUUUAUUCCACGGAUCUACCAACCUAACGUCGAUUACGAGGAACGCCUUGUAAGUCCCUCGAUUGCCGAUAUUGAGCGUCGCCAAGGAACCGUCUAUCUUGUAUCGUCCCUUGUAGAAGAAAGGGAACCGUUCCGUGGCGGUAUUGGCCAAUACGAUCGACUUAGUGAGCAAAUCUCGCAGCGUCAGUUGCGUGGACGGAUGGAGGCGCGCGCCCAAGAACACGACCGAGUAAUGCGUAAUGCCUUCGACGCCGCCGAUUUUCAAAGGUAUUCACUCAUGGUAAAUUUGUUCCGGCUUGCUAAAACAGGAUGCAGGUGAUGGACGGUUCGUUCUGCAGGCGCUUCAUGCCUCCAGUGGAGAUGACUAAGAGAGAUUUAAAGCAUGCGACUCACUUGAAGAUGAUGGAAAGACGCCGCUUACAAGACGUGCACGACGCCUGGCAAAAAACAAAGGAUGAAGAACGUCGAGCGCGUGCACGGAAGUUGUUCCGUCCACUCGAAAUUGCGGCCAUUCCCGAAGUACCGUAUCAUAGGGCAUACCGGAAGCCUACUCUCUACGAUCUUUAAGGACUUCUCAAAUGAAUCCGGUCAGUGAGGACCAGCUGAUGAGGCGUUAGGAAAUACGCUGCUAUAUCGACCAGCGGGGUUAUGUAAUACAAACAUUGAAGAUAUUAAUGUCUUUGGAUAAUAAUACGACUAAACAAAACGACGAAACGGAGGGAGAGACUGCGUUACCAUAAUACAAUAAAAUUCAAUAACGCAAAUAACAGCAGACGCAUAGAUUAGUGCGGAAAACAAGACUCAACGGUGCUACCAUUACAGAUCGAAAUGACGACGCCUGUAAAUAAAGUUCCACCAAAUGCC